AGUCUAGGUGGAGCCAGCGAUGGAGUCUAGGUGGAGCCAGCGGUGGAGUCUAGGUGGAGCCAGCGAUGGAGUCUAGGUGGAGUCUAGGUGGAGUCUAGGUGGAGCCAGCGGUGGAGUCUAGGUGGAGUUAGCGGUGGAGUCUAGGUGGAGUCUAGGUGGAGCCAGCGGUGGAGUCUGGGUGGAGUUAGCGGUGGAGUCUAGGUGGAGUCAGGGUGGAGUCAGGGUGGAGUCAGGGUGGAGUCAGGGUGGAGUCUGUGCUCCGCGCUGUGUUUUUCCUCGGCGGCCACCUGCUCUGAUUCAACGUGUUCUCACAGCCGUGUUCACACAAGCGCACAACAAAAGCCCCGAUGGAGAUAAAGAGACAAAGAGAAGAGGUUCAGCUAAAGAGCUGUUUGGGUUCUGCGCUGGUCGGUAGACUAGACAGCACCCACAAAACAACACGUCCCUUCAAGGUUCCUCUUGUGUUCUGCUGUAUUUUGGCUCCUGGGGCGACAAGACAAACACGAGCUGUUAAAUAAUCAAUCAUUGCAGCCUCGGCAACCAGAUCCUAACAGGGGCCUUCUGCAGGACAGGACCGCCCCAACGUGGACUCCCUCCCCAACGUGGACUCCCGCCCCAACGUGGACUCCCUCCCCAACCGACGGGACUCUCGACCUGCACCCCCCUCGCCCCCCAGAGCGACGCGGCACGGCGGCGAUGACGCUCUGCCAAAGGAGACUUCACAGUCAGACCAAACAAGCACACAAUCUAGUCAGCCACUUCAACCAAGUCACAGAUAAGCACCGCAUAUCUGUACACACACACACACACACACACACACACACACCCACACACACACACAAGCGCCAACGCCUCCGUCGGUAAAGCCCACAUCCUUCCACCGCGGGGGGGGGGGGGGGGGGGCACGGGUCGUUUUUCCCAGCCGGCGUGUCAGCAGACCACUGCACUGAGAAACCACGCAGCUGUUUGGUGAUUGUUGCCAUGGCAACGGUAAACAAGGGGCGAUGAACAAACACCUCAUGCUGGAGCCGUUUUAAUAUUAACACAGUGGAAUAAUCAGCCGAUUUGCUAGGUGACACUCGGGGGAGGCCCAGUGUAAACAAGUUGUGGGAGGGGACGGGGUGUCGGGGGGGCUUUAGGGAACCGAGGUCGAUGCAGAUGCAGCUCGGGGCUAAAAUAAACAGCCAGGCAGAAGAUAAACACAAAGUCGCUCUUCAGACGUUUCUGAAGACGUUCUAAAGCUGCUGUGUUCGCAGAAACAAAAGACAAGGCCCGGCCCCCCCCAACCCGCCCCAACCCCGCCCCUCUGGAGCGGCCUGCCGAGGAUACGCGCGCCUUUCCUUCCCGACCCGACAAAUGGCGGCUCCUCGCAGGGCGGCGGGCGACGUGUUAAACUUGUGUUGAAACAUGUUAAACAUCGACCUCGUUCAAUUAUUCAGCGGGCGGCUUCGUGGAAACAACAAAGGAAGUCUGAGGUGCAUCAACGAGCGCACAACACGAAAGAAGAGGGUCAGAAGAGACGGCGUCCGCCACGGGGCCGAGUGCGGCGCCUUUGAUUGCUUCAUUAACGGCGCGACAUCCAAGUCUUCCACCAAUGAGCAGCGAUUAGGAGGACAGGGGGGGGCAACGGGACGUUCAAAGCUGCACCUUGACCAUGAAUUUUUCAUGAAUACAACAACCUGCCAUCUGCUGAUGUGCAGCUAAUGACGCUCCCCCACCUGAGAUGCCCCCCCCCCUCACCCCCUUCCCCCUGCGGAUGCCCAUUUAAUCCCCCCAGAAACACAGUUACCCACUCGUAAGGGGGGCACGAAAUGGAGCGAGGGGCGCCAAAGCCACAUAUUUAUGACACGCGUGGGGGCGGCGGGGACGGGACCCCCGAGCGUAAAAAUGUGCGACUGUUCUCGA
ensembl:lncRNA